rnacentral:rRNA from 1 species
UACGAAGGGGGCGAGCGUUGUUCGGAAUCACUGGGCGUAAAGGGCGCGUAGGCGGCCCUCCUUGUCGCGUGUGAAAGCCCCGGGCUCAACCUGGGAACGGCGCGCGAGACGGGGGGGCUGGAGUUCGGGAGAGGAGCGUGAAAUUCCCAGUGUAGAGGUGAAAUUCGUAGAUAUUGGGAAGAACACCGGUGGCGAAGGCGGCGCUCUGGACCGAGACUGACGCUGAGGCGCGAAAGCGUGGGGAGCAAACAGG